UGCUUUUGUAUCUCUCUCUUGCCAUUCUCAGUUUCUUCUACUCUCAACUCUAGCUUUCUCUGUCUCCAAAAUGGCGAUUUUUCUAGCCCUCCAACCUUCCAUCUUUCUCUCACGAAUUAUCAACAACAGUGUUUUCUUGUCGGAAAAAUCACUCAGCCGCUACAACUUCUUAGAUUUUUCAAUUCGAUCCGAUCCAAUUUUUUUACCCAGAAAAGUUGGCAUUUCCUGGCUCGGGUCCUCCUCUUCUUCUUCUUCACCCAAACCAACAACCCCACCUUCGAUUGUUACCGAUGAAAACAUCACGAAUUGAGGCGCAACACCAAUGCUGUAACAGUUAUAAGAAAAGAGCUUCAAACCCACAAAGGUCACUGAAGCUGAUAUCGAAGUGUUCAAAGCAAACUAGAAGGGAUUUUAUUUUUAGAAGAAGGAUUUGAUUGAUCUUUACAGCUAGUGCAAGGGGAAUAUGAAUAGGUAUUAGCUUUAUUUUUCACUGCAUUUAUCUUUUUGGUCAUUUGGAUUCCUGUUUCUGUUUGAUACUUGCAUACUGUUCUAUUCAAUGAUAGGUUCUGAUCCUAAACUCGAUUCACACUGUUUCAAGGAAAUUCUUAUAAGGCAAUUGCUACAGGGAUGGAGUGAGCGAAUCACAGUUCAACCAAGUCUUCAACGAUGAAUUGAGCUAGAUCAUUGAGAUUGUUAUGGAAGCACUUUAUAUGAGUUGCAAAAUGCUCUUGGUCAAAUAGAGAGAGAAAAAAAGGGGAAAUGUGAGUCGGGCAGUUAAAUAGUGUAAAAUUUUAAAAUUACAAAAGUUUGUUAGUUGUGUUAAUAAUUGCUUUUACAUGUGUAUGCUGGUAUUUGUAUCAUUCUUUUUGCAUAUAUAUGUUGGUAUGCUUCAUGAGUUGAUGUGCUUAAAACUUAAUGUUCUUUGCUAUACACUGUUUCUGUUGCAGUCCUAUUAGAUUUGGAAUGUGAUUGUGUAAAUUCUAGUA